rnacentral:rRNA from 1 species
CGGACGGGUGGAGUAAUGUCUGGGAAACGGCCUGAUGGAGGGGGAUAACUACUGGAAACGGUAGCUAAUACCGCAUAACGUCGCAAGACCAAAGAGGGGGACCUUAGGGCCUCUUGCCAUCGGAUGUGCCCAGAUGGGAUUAGCUUGUUGGUGGGGUAACGGCUCACCAAGGCGACGAUCCCUAGCUGGUCUGAGAGGAUGACCAGCCACACUGGAACUGAGACACGGUCCAG